AAUUGAAGGCCGUAGUUAUGGACGCUUAUGCACAUAUUUUGUUUUUGCGCACGGCCCUUUCUGCCCAGCGUUCUGCGCGGAUUGUAUAAAUUUGCGACAAAAUGGGCACUGGAAUAUACUAAAAUUCGCUGACCAACAGCAAUACGCAUAACAAUCAAGAUGUCGUGUCCCGGGUGUAACGGAGGUGGUGUGUGCUUCAAGUGUGACAAGUGUGGGGCCCUGCAGUGCAAGAACAACCGCUGUAAGCACCAUAACUCGGCAGCGGCCAGUAAGUGUGCCUCAUGUGGCAAGUCCGGAGGACAGAAAAGCGUCUAGCCACUGGCGUGAGAUACGUCGGCCACCCACAAGACGCAUGUUGUACCGCUUGGAUCGUCAAACCAGGGCAUAUUGACAAAACUACAUUUUAAAAUCGAACAUAUUCUGUUUCACUAAUAAUAUAUAAAUUCUUAUAUUGUUCUAUUUGUUUUAUUAAAUCAUCACUAUACCAUUAUUUAUAAAAUUGUAUCAUAUUAAACUGCUCGAAACCAUC